rnacentral:rRNA from 1 species
UACGUAGGGUGCGAGCGUUGUCCGGAAUUAUUGGGCGUAAAGAGCUUGUAGGCGGUUUGUCGCGUCUGCCGUGAAAAUCCGGGGCUCAACCCCGGACUUGCGGUGGGUACGGGGCAGACUAGAGUGUGGUAGGGGAGACUGGAAUUCCUGGUGUAGCGGUGAAAUGCGCAGAUAUCAGGAGGAACACCGAUGGCGAAGGCAGGUCUCUGGGCCACUACUGACGCUGAGGAACGAAAGCGUGGGGAGCGAACAGG